AACGAACGCUGGCGGCAGGCUUAACACAUGCAAGUCGAGCGCAUCCUUCGGGGUGAGCGGCGGACGGGUGAGUAACGCGUGGGAACGUGCCCUCUUCUACGGAAUAGCCUCGGGAAACUGAGAGUAAUGCCGUAUACGCCCGCAAGGGGAAAGAUUUAUCGGAGGAGGAUCGGCCCGCGUUGGAUUAGGUAGUUGGUGGGGUAACGGCCUACCAAGCCGACGAUCCAUAGCUGGGUUGAGAGGAUGAUCAGCCACACUGGGACUGAGACACGGCCCAGACUCCUACGGGAGGCAGCAGUGGGGAAUCUUGGACAAUGGGGGCAACCCUGAUCCAGCCAUGCCGCGUGAUCGAUGAAGGCCUUAGGGUUGUAAAGAUCUUUCAGCUGGGAAGAUAAUGACGGUACCAGCAGAAGAAGCCCCGGCUAACUCCGUG
rnacentral:rRNA from 1 species